rnacentral:lncRNA from 1 species
CUAGAGUUGGGUUCUGCAAAAUAUAAAAACUUCCGACCCGUGAUUAUCAACUUUAGACCCGCAUUUCUUAAGUUGAUUAUGAGACAACUAAAUUUUAAAAACUUUGUUAAUAUUGGAUUUUCGACUUUUCGGGAAUAUCUUAGCUGAUGAAUUAGUAGCUGUUGUUCUUGUUUCUUUAGUACCUUUAGUAGUUCCUAUACCUGUCAUGCUCCUUGGAUUAUUUACAAGUGGUAUUCAAGCUCUUAUUUUUGCAACUANNNN